AUUCAGAGCCCCAGCCUGUUCAUAAAAAAAAUCAGAUGAAUUUUGUCUGCGAAACAUUCUGCAAAAAUAUCUGACCAGUAAAUAAUCCUCUAAAUAGCCACAGCAAGGAAAGUCUGAGAAAGUGUCACAGCCAAGAGGACCCUAUAAAGACAUGAUGACUAAAUGUAACAUGGUGUCUUCCAUGGGAUCCUGAGACAGAAAAAGGACAUUAGGAAAAGAAGGAAAAAACUAUCUGAAGCCCUGUUAAAAGUCUGAGUCAUUUCUGCUCUAUUUCUUUCCCUAAGAAUGGUAAGAGCUGGGCAUUGUGGUAUGUGCCUUUAGUCCUAGCUACUCUGGAGGCUGAGGCAGGAGGAUCACUUGAGCCCAGGACUUUGAGGCCACUGUAAGCUAUGAUCAUGCCACUGCACUCCAGCUCAGGAAACAAACAGUAUUUGUUCAACAAACAAAAGAAAAUAAAAGAAUGGUAGACAAGGAAAGCAGUGGAACAGCUAUGCAAGAAGCCUACUUUCUCUUCAUGUAACACGUUGGCCUAAGAGAUCUAUAGAGCUUUUUAAAAACAGAGAAGGCAGCAAGAUUUAAAAUAAUAAAACCAGCAAUAGGUAUUUUUUAAAGUGAGAGAAACUAUCAGAGAGCUGAAGCAGAAAAGCAAGUUAAAAAUAAAGGAAACAGAAAAGGAACUGAUAUAGCUGAUUUGAUACUAGAAAGAUCACCCAGGAGGCAGCACGGAGAAUGGAUUGGAGAAG
rnacentral:antisense_RNA from 1 species